AUUUUGUUCUAGGUUUCAUAUGAAGUUGUCGUGAAUCAUCAAUUUUAUGUGGAGUACAAGAAUGGCGAGCCAAGCCUCAGAUGAAACUUGUAGCGAUAGGAAUCAAAAACUAAACUAAAUGGAUGUUAAGGGUUGCGACAAUAUUAAGUACUUGUUUGUAAUUUAAGAUUUCAUUAGGAACUGAGAGCUAAUUUUCUUUUUCGACAUGGUGGGCUUAUCCCCUUCCCUCCCUUUGUGUCUCCAUCUCUCCCUGGCCAUUUUCCACUUCUCCUGGAGUUCACGAUGGCUGCCAUCAAGUUCCAAGCUUGAAGCUUGGACCUACUAGCAUCGCCUCCCGAUCAACGAGAAAAGCACCAUCCAGGUCUCAAUUCGGAACCUGAGGUGCACUGGACCUGAGCUCGGCGGCCACCGCGUUCCAACCCCAUGGCAUUCUCUCCUCUCCGGAAAGAACCGAGCAAGCAACCAGAGAGAGGAGCUGCCGACGCCGAACCUGAGCACCAACGUGCCGGUGGACGCCGUGGUGGCCUCCGACAUCCUCAGGGACUGCAGAAAAGCCGUCUCCAAGAUCAUCGGCAAGCCCGAAUCCGUGAGAAAGCACAAUAAUCUCUCUCUCCUCCUCCUCCUUUUUGUGGGUCAACUUUUUUCACAGUUAAUAAGAUAUACUGCCAGAUAUUUGAUGAAAUUACUCUGUGAGAGUGAGUAGUGAGAAUACUUCUUUGAUAGGAUUGGUUCUUUGUUUAUCUCUUCUUGCCUGCUAAAUUGAUGGAUCUGUGGCAUAGUGUGACGAUAAAAUGAGUUUUUCUCCUGAAAGAUAAUUUGUUUAUUGGGUUA